rnacentral:rRNA from 1 species
GACGAACGCUGGCGGCGUGCUUAACACAUGCAAGUCGAGCGGUAAGGCCCUUUCGGGGGUACACGAGCGGCGAACGGGUGAGUAACACGUGGGUGACCCGCCCUCAGCUCUGGGAUAAGCCUGGGAAACCGGGUCUAAUACUGGAUAUGACUCCAUGACGCAUGUUGUGGGGUGGAAAGCCUUGUGCGGCUGAGGAUGGGCCCGCGGCCUAUCAGCUUGUUGGUGGGGUGAUGGCCUACCAAGGCGACGACGGGUAGCCGGCCUGAGAGGGCGACCGGCCACACUGGGACUGAGACACGGCCCAGACUCCUACGGGAGGCAGCAGUGGGGAAUUGUUCGCAAUGGGCGCAAGCCUGACGACGCAACGCCGCGUGGAGGGUGAAGACC